UGAUCCUGCUUGGUAGUGGGUCAAGGCUUCAAACCUUGGGGGGCCUAGCGGCC
rnacentral:tRNA from 11 species